rnacentral:rRNA from 1 species
UAUUUUAGUCCUUUUAGAGGAACCUGUUUCAUAAACGAUAAGCCACGAAUAUCUUACCUAAUUUAAAAUUUGUAUACCGUCAUUAUCAGAUAACUUUGAUAAAAUAAGUUGUUAAAAAUAAUAAAAUUAAGAAAAUUAGAUCAAGGUGCAGUUUAUAAUAAGGAGUAAAUGGGUUACAAUAAAAAUAAUUUAAACGAAUUUAAU